GAUGAACGCUAGCUACAGGCUUAACACAUGCAAGUCGAGGGGCAGCAUGAACAAAGCUUGCUUUGUUUGAUGGCGACCGGCGCACGGGUGCGUAACACGUAUCCAAUCUGCCCGCGGCUCGGGGGUAGCCCAUCGAAAGAUGGAUUAAUACCCGAUGGCUUGGUCACUCCGCAUUGAGUUUCCACUAAAGGUUUUCCGGCCGCGGCUGAGGAUGCGUAUGAUUAGGUAGUAGGUGGGGUAACGGCCCACCUAGCAUUCGAUCAGUAGCGGUUCUGAGAGGAAGGUCCCCCACACUGGAACUGAGACACGGUCCAGACUCCUACGGGAGGCAGCAGUGAGGAAUAUUGGUCAAUGGGCUAGCGCCUGAACCAGCCAAGUAGCGUGAAGGAAGACUGCCCUAUGGGUUGUAAACUUCUUUUGUUCGGGAAUAAAGUGCAGUAUGUAUACUGUUUUGUAUGUACCGUUCGAAUAAGCAUCGGCUAAUUCCGUGCCAGCCGCCGCAGUAAAAC
rnacentral:rRNA from 1 species